rnacentral:rRNA from 1 species
AGAGUUUGAUCAUGGCUCAGGACGAACGCUGGCGGCGUGCUUAACACAUGCAAGUCACGGGGGCCCGCAAGGGCAACCGGCGAACGGGUGCGUAACACGUGAGCAAUCUGCCGAUUUCUGGGGGAUAGCCGGCCCAACGGCCGGGUAAUACCGCAUACGCUCGUUGAGAGGAGUCUCUCGACGAGGAAACCUCCGGGGGAAAUCGAGGAGCUCGCGGCCUAUCAGCUAGUUGGCGGGGUAACGGCCCACCAAGGCGAUGACGGGUAGCUGGUCUGAGAGGAUGGCCAGCCACAUUGGGACUGAGAAACGGCCCAGACUCCUACGGGAGGCAGCAGUGGGGAAUCUUGCGCAAUGGCCGAAAGGCUGACGCAGCGACGCCGCGUGUGGGAGGACGCCCUUCGGGGUGUAAACCACUGUUGCCCGGGACGAACAUCCCCUUUCGAGGGGACUGACGGUACCGGGUGAGGAAGCACCGGCUAACUCCGUGCCAGCAGCCGCGGUAAUACGGAGGGUGCGAGCGUUGUCCGGAAUCACUGGGCGUAAAGGGCGCGUAGGUGGCGCGGGAAGUCUUCGGUGAAAGUUCAGGGCUCAACCCUGAAUCGGCCGGCGAUACUCCCGUGCUCGAGUGUGGUAGAGGCCAAUGGAAUUCCGGGUGUAGCGGUGGAAUGCGUAGAGAUCCGGAAGAACACCGGUGGCGAAGGCGGUUGGCUGGGCCACAACUGACACUGAUGCGCGACAGCGUGGGGAGCAAACAGGAUUAGAUACCCUGGUAGUCCACGCCGUAAACGAUGGGCACUAGGUGCUUGGGGGAGCGACCCCCUGAGUGCCGGCGCUAACGCAUUAAGUGCCCCGCCUGGGGAGUACGGCCGCAAGGCUGAAAC